AACCUCCGUAUUGUAUUUUGGAACAUGUGUGGCCUAAAUGCCCCGGCCAAGCGCACCGCCGUCCGCAGCGUGAUCACCGCUGCUACACCAUGUAUCGUUUGCAUUCAGGAGACUAAGAUGACUUCCCUCUCAUCCUCGCUUGUCACUGAGACGCUCGGCCAAUCAUUCUCCGAGUUCUUCUUUCUUCCUGCGGAUGGGACACGUGGGGGCUGUUGGGUAACGUAG
rnacentral:rRNA from 1 species